CCAUUAUGGUUGGGAUUUUUUAGAUCAGCAGUUAUUGCUAUAGCCAUAUUUAUUAUUAAUCUACUGGCCUACUAAGUCCCAACAUAAUGA
rnacentral:pre_miRNA from 1 species